rnacentral:rRNA from 1 species
AUACGGAGGAUGCAAGCGUUAUCCGGAUUUAUUGGGUUUAAAGGGUGCGUAGGCGGAUGAUUAAGCGUGAGGUGAAAUGCCACUGCUCAACAGUGGAACUGCCUCGCGAACUGGUUGUCUUGAAUGCUCCUGCCGUGGGAGGAAUGUGUGGUGUAGCGGUGAAAUGCAUAGAGAUCACACAGAACACCGAUUGCGAAGGCAUCUCACGAAGGGGUGAUUGACGCUGAGGCACGAAAGCGUGGGGAUCAAACAGGAUUAGAUACCCUGGUAGUCCACGCAGUAAACGAUGAUAACUAACCGCUGGGUCGUAGUGAUUCAGUGGCCAUGCGAAAGCGAUAAGUUAUCCACCUGGGGAGUACGACCGCAAGGUUGAAACUCAAAGGAAUUGGCGGGG